ACCAUUUCAUUCGUAUUUUUCACCAUAAAAGAUUGGUUCAACCGAACCCAAUAUCAAUUCGAUUCAUUUCGUUUGCGAUGUAAGUUGUUAUUUUAGUACAAUAACAUUUUUAGAUAUAGUUUAAGUUGCUAACUUCAUCAUAUGAAUUUAUACAUAAUUAGAAGCCUCUUGAGCAUAAAAUGUCUUAAAAUCUUAAAAAUUUACAACCCUUAAUGCAUAGUAUUCCGGACAGCCCACCAGCUCUUUGUUUACCCCUCCAACCAUUUAUUUGAAAACUGUUACCAAAUGGUUUCUUCUCUCCCUCUGUUUCUCUGCUCUAAACCACCAUCGCCAAACCCUAACACGGAUAUGUGAAUAAAUGCAUUUUUGGGUUUAUUAUUAUUUCAGAUUUGGCAUGGUUUCUUCUCUCACCACACAAAUGGACCUCGUCAGUGAGAUUAUCAGCAGUAACUGGUAUAUAUGCUGCCUCCCAUCAUCAUUUGCAAAUAAGAUUAUUCUUCAUAAGUUGGAAGUAAACAAAAUGCAGUUGCAAAUGAUGAUGUUUAGGAAUUCUAUAUCAUCAUUUGUCCCACUAGCACUUAUAUGUAAUUUGGUUAUCCUUAAUUGCAGGCAUAGCCAUUUGUCUCUUGUGUAGAUUAUUAGUUUGUCACAAAGAUGAAAGCUAUUGAUGUUGGUAACUUCUUCC